CCCUAGCCCGGAUAGCAGCGGAAAUCCUUUUGCUUGAGGAACGAAUGCAAAAGAUUGCAGCGGAUAGCCGGAUUAGCU
rnacentral:sRNA from 1 species